CGUCUCUCUCGCUCUCUUAUUCGUCUUCCUCCUCUUCUCCCUCCACUACGCUUGUCCUCCCCCCACUACGAUCUUGCCCUCACCACGAGUCGUCGAGCCACCCACUAGCUACGCCACUGUCCGAGUACUCUCCGUGCACAUCCCCUUCCCGCGAGUGCGGAGAGUAUUCUUGGCCCUCUUGCUUGCUCUCUUACCGCCUCUCUCGCUCUCCCGUUCGCUCUCGCGGUACUGCCGCGCCGUCGGCGAUCGGCGCGCCGAAGCGCAGCGGACAGGCGUCGCAAAUUCGCUUGCCGCGACUUCGGCUCCGCUCGGUCGGUUUCCGAGCGCCGACCGGAGGGAUUCGCCAGUAUGCGCCGCGCUGCCUUGCCGGCACGUUGUAUGUAUUGAGUAGGUUGUUUUCUCUCUCCUGACUGUUCGUGCGAGUCGUCAUUUCUCGAAUCGAACGGAGCGAGCGAUUCUCCGCUGAGUGUUUCGUCAGAGUUUUUCCUUUCCGUUGAUCGGGGAAAAGCGCCACGACAACCCCCUUGCAGGACAACCUUGUUGCGUCAGAGGCCAAGUUGCAAAGAACUUGAUUUUGCGCGCCACGGGAGCGAUCGGAGCCGAUCGCGAGAGGAUAGAUCCGCGCGCAGCGACGCAGCUCGCCGCCGGCAACGAGUAUUCGAUGAGAGUUACCAGGCGGAACGAUCUCUCGAGGGCAACGAGGGCACGAAAGGUCACCGCCAUCGCGAUCGCCUCGUCGGCGGACUCGUCCGAAAAUCUUGGCGUCACCGGCCCAAGACGGAAGACACACUUGUCGUGCGUUACCACGAUCUACAGUCAUCAUCGGCAACGACGUAGAGCGUCGAUCCACCCGCUCAUGCAGCGGGCCAAGUUCCUAUCAAAACAUGGCCACGUGACCUCCGGACAGCACGGCUUGUAAACACAGUGUUUGACCACGUGGUCUGCUUCCUCCCUCCGUCGCGCUGUGCGCCUAUCUGUUUCUCUCUAUCUCCGUCUCUCUCCUCGCUCCGACUCUUCCCCUCUCUCUCCCCCUCGCGCUUCCUAUCUCUCUCGCAUUCUUCCCGCCCUCGCUCUUCCGCCGCUCCGCGCUCUCUCGCGCCGCGCUCUUUCGGCACGCAGAACGGCCCCCGGCGGAAUCCUCAGUUGGUUCGCCACCGCCGUCAGCCGCACCGUGAGCGUACCUACGUUCUCCCGCAACUGAUCCGUUCGCCGCGGAAUCGCCGUCGAACGUUGUCGUCGGCUCGGCUCUCGGAGCUUCGCCUCCCGCGAGCGUGAGCGCCGAUCCGCGCCUCGCCGCGUCGCGUCGCGUCACGUCUCCUCGCCUCGCCUCGCCUCGCCUCGCCUCGCCUCGCGCGCGCGCAGCCUCGUUCCGAUCCCGCGGGUACGACCGGUCGUGCGGUGAUGAUGUGUUGAGGAACCGCACAGUGUCCGACGAGCAAAAGAGCACAUACAAUACAACACAAGCACGCACGCACGCACGCACGUACGUACACCGAUUCGAAUCCGGCGCGAGCGAGCUCGCUGUCGCGAACCUUCGCUCGAGCGAGGACGUACGAAGGCCGUUGUCGUCGCGCAUACGUACACGCGUACACGCCGUAAUAGUGACAGUGUGACCGAGCGCGACCCGGGCUGUCUCUCUCGCACACGCGACCGGGCUUUCUCGCAGGUGCCGUCGAUCCGUCGAUUAGCCAAUCACCCGAUAGGAUCCCGCGCGAUCACGAGCACCCCGAAUUCGCCAAGCGACCUGGGAACAUGAUGGAUUCGGUGCCGAUCUCGGUGUCCGGGUCAUUGACCCGGUCGCAGCAGCAGCAACCGCCACACCAGCAACAACAACAGCAGCAGCAGCAACAGCAAGCGCAGAAGAAGGGAGUCUCCUUCGAGUUUUCGGUCUCGCCGGAUCUGGAGAGCGGCUUCGAGCCGCAGACCAGAGCGCGAUCCAAUACAUGGCCGUUGCCGCGACCCGAAGGGUACGUAGAGGGCAACGCGCCAGCCGGGAACGAGGGUGCCGAAGGUGGCACGCCGCCCCAUCAGACGCAGCUCGCCCAGGGUGGACUGCUGCCGGUGAAGAAGAACUCGUCGAGGAGGAACGCCUGGGGAAACUUGAGUUACGCCGACCUGAUCACACCGGCGAUCACCAGCGCACCCGAUCAGCGGCUGACUCUGUCGCAGAUCUACGAGUGGAUGGUCCAGAAUGUGUCCUACUUCAAGGAUAAAGGCGACAACAACAGCAGCGCCGGUUGGAAGAAUUCUAUUCGUCACAAUCUGUCGCUACACAGCAGGUUCAUGCGGGUGCAGAACGAGGGCACCGGUAAGAGUUCUUGGUGGAUGAUCAAUCGCGAUGCCAAGCCGGGGAAAUCCGCCCGUCGCAGGGCCACUACUAUGGAGAGCACCGGAAGUCUAGAGAAGCGACGUGGACGCUCAAAGAAAAUCGCUGAGGCCGUAAGGAACGGCGCGCUGAUGCCCGAGUCUACGUCCAGUCCCAGCAGCAGCGUCGGUGAAGGUUUGGACCUAUUCCCGGACAGUCCUCGACCUGCCGCCGGAUUCCAGCUCUCGUCCGAUUUCCGUCCUCGCGCAUCGAGCAACGCUUCUUCCUGUGGCCGGUUGAGUCCCAUCCUAGCAGUUUUCGGAGAACCAGACUGGACACCGACUUACGCGCCUUCCUACAGCCCGGACCAACAAUUAGCAGAUGCGAUCCUAGCAGGCAACCUGGCGGAGACGAUGAAACUAGAGCCCUACCAAAUCUACCAGACAUCACCGCCGGCCAACCAUCAGCAGCAAACCGGUCCGCCGCCGCCUUACUACGAAGCGCAGUACCAGAGGAACAACGGCCUACACACCCCAUCGUCCGCAUCCUACGGCCUGCCACCUACCCCGCAGCCCGUCAAUCAGCAGAGAUGCCCGAUCCAUGGUCUGCAACCGUGCGCCUGUCAGAUGAACCUGAGCCCCGUGUCCGGCAUGUCUCCAUCGUAUCAGCAGAGCGAGCCCAGUCCCACGACGUUGGGUAACAAUCAGCAACAGACUUUGCAGUACAUGAUUCAGACGCAACAGCGUCAACAGCAACAACAGCGUCAGCAGCAGCAACAGCAGCAGCAUCAACAGCAGCAGCAACCAACGCAGACUGGACCAGCUGGUCCCAGUCCGCCCAACACGCCAACACCGUGCCUCUCUACACCCAGUACCAUGAUGGGUCAGUUGAUGAUGGGUACGCUCGAUCAUUCCGUCCUCCUUGAUGACCUCAACAUUAACAUCGAGAUGCAGGACAGCUACGACUCUAACGUCGAGGACGAGCUCAAGCACGAGCUGUCGAUGCUCGGCACGCUGGACUUCAACUUUCAGCAAGGCGUAAUGGACACCAUGCAGGUGAGCGACGGCAGUGUCGUCGGUCAGAACGGUGGCGUCGUGUCGCAGAAUGCGGGCGUCGUCGUCGGCACGACGACAAGUAACGCGCCUGCAGGCGUCUACGUGAGCACGAAUGCGGCGACUCCUGCCGCGACCCCUUCGUGGGUUCACUAGCAGUUAACCCCCCUGCCCUCAACACCCCCGUCGUCCUUGCCGAUGCCGCCGUUGUCCGACGGAUCAUCGCGGGAUAAUUUCUGCGGGACUACUGAAGGGCAGCUUGUCGCGGAUUUCACGGGUUAAGAAGGACUUGACGAUGACCUGAAUCUAUCAGCCCUUCGUAAAUGUAACGACUGUAGCAGCGCAGCAACGUCGAUCAGUUCGCGGCCGGCAGAAGGAGAGGGAGGGACGAAGAAGGGCGCCAGCCGACGCCUCUAGACGGGGGUGACCGGGCUUGCGGAUCUGCCUAAUCGAGCGUGCGUUUCCGAUGAAUUAUUCAGGAUCGAACGCAGGCCGUUCUUAGCCGUUAGGCGUUUAUUCUCAUUACGUGGCUUCCCUCACUCGUGUUUCGUACGAAUGCGUCGAUAAGAUGUUCUCUCUCUUUCUUUCUCUUUGUCUCUCCUGUUUCUUGCACCCUUGCGACUCGCGAGAGCUCUUGCGCCAACCCUUUCAAGGAUGAUGUACCUAACGUUCCUCUGGGAAAUCCGUCCGCUUUGGAUAUCGUUUUAAAGGAGAAUUGAAAAUUAGUUGUAGCUAGCAAUUAAUAAAGUAUGCAAAAUGGUUACGGAUUCAUAAAUUCUUAUUGGAAAUGUAUAAAUGUACAAAGAAUAUGGAAAUAAAUGUGAAGAAAAAGAAAAGCGGGAUGUAUGAAGACUCAUAUCGAAGAGAUCAGUAAGAUGUUUUCGGAUCAGAUCGCGUUUUCUCAGAAUAUUUUAAAGCGAAAUCGAUACCAAGCAGGUCAAAAACUAAUUAUUGGAAGAUACUUUCAAUUCCUUUAAUCCAAUAUAAUUCUAAAUAAAUGUUAGUAGUCGGCAAAUGAUGAAUAAAUCAUCUCAGCUCGAUCGUUCGAACGGCGAUGGGAUUUAUCGCAAAUCGAGUCUUCAUUGAUAGGUUCACUGUGAUAGCUUUUGUGGUCUUAUAAAUUAUGACAUAAGAUUCCUCUUCUGCAUUGCUGUUUUUUUCUAGGAUAAAAAUAUACGAUAAACACUGGAAUUAAUAAUGAUUAAUAGAGGCAUCUCUUUUAUGAUGACAUGAUCCUGAGCAGUCUGCAACAGUGCACAAGUAUUCGCGUAGAAACUUGUGAAAAAUACUCGUAGAAUUUGCGAGCAAUAUAUUUAUUAUCCGCUACACAAGCUAGAUGGUAGUACAAGCUAGAUGGAUUGUAAGCCCGCAUACUUCAACUGAGUUCCAUUAGAAAUUCUAAUCGGACCACCGACAUUCAUGUACACCUCUCGUAUGCGCACCCCGAUUGGUCGACCGAUCAUUUGCAAUAAACCACUUGCAUUUCGAUCGUAAUUGCGCGUACGAUCCAUAAAUCAUGGCGAUGUAGUACUCGUUUACCCUUCUGUCUUAUGAAAUUCUUAUAAUGACUCGGAAUAUUAAAAUUCAGUUUGCUCCAAAGAAUCAUUAGAAAUUUUAUUAUUUAAGUAUUUAAGUUGUCGAUAUUGUAGGUAAACCAGGAAAAUGUUUGAAAGGAUAAUUAUAAGAUAUUCUGUAUGCCAUUAUUCACGUCACAAUACGAUAAGUGCGUAGUUUAUUGAGUAUCCUGCUGCAAUUUUUCACGUUUAUUGUUAUCUAUUGAUUAUCUUUAUCUCUAAAACAUUUUUCUGUAAUUCCAUGCACAUUUGCAAGAUAUGAAAUAAAUUACUACAUUCCAUCUAGUUUUUCUUCUCAUUUUUUAGAUGUGCGGAAAAGUUUCAAAGCCGACGGCUAUAUUUACGAUGACCUAACUUGAUGAAAAAUUGAUUCUGUAACGCAGCAAGAGCAACUGAACGCGCGCGGCUGCCCGAUGAUGACAUAGUGGGACGGACGGGUAAAACGGGAGGAAAUAAAGAAAAAUCACGGUUAAGAGUGGUUUAAUUGAUUUUACAACGACCGACGUCGUUAAGUAGACCGUGAUACGUUCUCGGUGUUACGCAUCGAUAAGCGGCCGGCUGCUUUUUAACACACUCAGGUCUUACGGCUUUCAUUACAUAAUUUUACAUAUAUGGGUCGCAAACGGAAAAGAUACACACACACACACACACACACACACACACACACACACAUUAUUUUUUGUGGAAACUGCGUAGUGAAAUUAAUCCAUAGCAUUUUAUUUUUGGAAAUGUACAGAUUUGUAUAAAUAAUUGCGCAUAUAAUGGAAAAUCGAAAUUUGAAAUCAUGCCAGAAAUGCCAACGCCGUUAAAAAAUUGAAUUAUAAUUGUCCAAUCGAUGAAUAUCGUGUUAAGCACGUUUCUCCGAUAUUAAAAUGGAUGGAAACGCGAAGUGUCGUAUAAGAAUCACACACGUAAAAUAUGAUACGGUGAUUCGCGUGAAGUAAAAUACAGAAACAUUUUCUAAUUUCAAAAAUUAUCUCAUAUCUGCAUACCAAGUCGUUAAAAGCGCAAAACAAUAAGAAUAAGUUUCUCAUCUGUAUCUUUCAGGAAAGCCAAAAAUUUUUAAGUUAACGUGGUUUGGACUUCGGGCCUCCAAUUGUCGAGAACGCCUACGAGCGUCUUUUCAUCUAAUUUCUUCUGUGUGCGUGUGACCUAAUAUCACAGCGGUGCCUCAUAAGAUUGCAUUCAGCAAAUAUAAAUUAAUCACAUCUUUCAGCCUCCUAUUAUCUCCGCUAUCUUUCGUUGAAAAAUCUCAAACAAUUGGGUCGUUACGCGAACGACUUGGCGGUCGUUGAGAACGUCAUUGAUAAGACUUCUCGCAUAAGUGGCGUUUCAUUUUCCGCGUAACAAGUAGACAUCGCGUGCUUUUGGCAACGUAUCCGACGAAUCGCGCGGGUAUAGGCAAGUUCGCACCACGAAAGUGCCGAACGCGCGAAUGGAAUUCACAUGGUUACGUGAUUAGUAUGAUAAUGCGUCUCUUUCCCGAAUUGGCGAAACGUCUCGUUCGUUGAUCACUCGUGAACGAAACCUGCUAGAUUUCAUACGUGGCGCCUUGGCCUACGCACUCGGCUUACGUAAUGCUUGCAUGACGUUAGGCUUUUCCUUAGUUCAGGCAAACUCGUGUAGGUUCGUAUGCGCUUGUGUGCGCGUAUGCGUGUUGCGUGACCGCGCUGUUACUGCCUGCAGAUCCAAAAUGCGUAGAAGAAUGUUUCUUAUGUAUACAUUUACGCAAGGGGACCGGUAUAACUGAUUACUUGAGACUCUUUGCUUGGCUCUGGCCAUUUUCGGCGAAUUCCAGCCGGCUCAGCAGCAGCCGUGAACAGAGAGAUGUCGGUGACGAUAAUUUCGUGCGAUAAAGCGCUGCGGCGUUUUAAUAAAAAUGUUCCCUGGACCCGAUAUUUUAUUUAUUUUUGAUAUCCAACCAGCCGCGUGCGUUCUGAAUGUGUCUACACUUGACGUACGUAAAUAUUUGUGACUGGUACGCUCUCGCUAUUGUCGGGCUGAACGGUUGAUUAAAAUUUUAGGGUAAAUAUAUCCGCCAGCGUAUUUUUACGUCCAUUUCCGCGUUCGCGUUCCGCGUUAUUAUAUACCUUCAUAAUAUUUAGCUUGUGCUUUUAUAUCUGCCUUGAAAUCCGCUGCAACGCACGUGCAAAUCAAAAUAUCUUAGUCUUGGCGCACAUGACAAUUUGUAAAACUGAAAUCCUCGAGGAACCAGAAUAAAUCUUCCCCUUUUAGUCACUCUCAAGCGCGAGUCAUUCUUACGUGCCUUACAAUAAGCCUGUGUAAUUACGUUUAGUAAUACUUAGUAAAUAAUUAGUUUAAUUACUCUGGUGUGUGACAACGUUAUUACAAGAAAAUUGCCACAUUGUACGCAAUUAUCAAUCCCAAGAUUCACCACUCUAUUUUUAUAAAUCUUACAGAUCUGCGUGGAGACGUAGGCAUAAUGUAUAAUGAAGACAUUACAUACACGCGUAAUAAUGCACAUGCAGAAGUCUUAUAUACGCCGUACAGAUUUCGCGUCGCAGUGGAAUGAAAAACCCAGCUCAGAUCUGGUCGGUUAUCACUACCGACGAGGUAAUCGCUGACUGCUACCACUGCUACCAAGUGACAGGUCAAUUUUGCCAGGGAUAAGUGCAUGAUACGUCCCAAUGGCUCAAUAUUCCGGCUCAUCGUUUCAUUGUAACGAAUGCGCGUCGGGACGCGUAAGUGCGGGCGUACCUGUGCGCGUGUGGCCCGGAUGCACCGGGGAUACUGGAGCACUGACAUUUGGCGGCUAACUCGGUGCGACUGUACUCGCUAUACUCGCAUGCAGCGAUGCGCACGAGCGAAUGCUCUCGCGAGUCAUCUCAUUAACCGCAUCAUUGCUGGCUGUGCCACCGAGAGUGGCGGACCUCUUCCCGCACUGCCUCACGUUUCAAACGGAACAAGAGCUCCGCUCUUUGCGCGUCAUCGUGAUGCCCGCCACCUCUGCCCUUCUCACCCUUUCCGUCUCUCUUUUUCUCUCUCGUAUCUGCGCAAUUAUCACGAAUUCAUUUCGACCAAUUUAAUGAGAAAUUUAGUACAAUCUCAUAUAAGAGGUAUAUCGCGACAUUUCAUUGCGGAUGAUUUAAAUUGUGAAUCGUCCGAUCGUCCAUUUAUCCGCGGACGAUUAAAAUCUUGAAGGAAGGCGGGCGUUUUAUACGUUGAUGGAUAUAAAUCGGCGCAUAUCACGUUGGUAACAGCAGAACUAAUUUGGAUAUCUGAAUAAUUUGCCUUCGGUUAUUUCUUCUCAAACAGUUCGCGAUAUAUUUUGAAAUUAUGGAUUUAAUUACUGAUCGAAUCAUGCCGAAUAUUUUCACUAUGUUGUAUUUUUACUAACAAAGUUUAUGAAUAUUAUGAGGCAUAAUUUAAUAGAAUUAGCGAGAUCUUAUACAUGGUGUGACGAAGAAUAUUCUGACUAAUCUGUGUCUUUGAUACCUGCGGGAUCAUGCAACAUCGUGCUCGACAUUUCAUGGUCUUCGGUGCGUGAAUUAUUAUCCUAGCGAGAUAUUUCGGUUGCUAGCCAUUGGUAUUUUUAAAGCAUUGGCAAGAUACAACUAUUGCAUCAAGAAAGAGAGGGAAAGGAAAACUGAUAUUGCUCCAGAUUUAUAAUUUUACAUUUCACAGGUCAUAAUUCUAUUUAUAAAAAUUGCCGCAAUUACGUAAUGGAUACCGGCUAUCUGCAUUACUUAACGGCCAGCAUGAAAUUUCGAAAUCAGAGCAUUUUUUCUCCGCAUCAUCGGCUGAUAUUGCUGUUCGCAAACUGUGCCAUACCGGACAACGCAUAGUAGUAUUUUUGCGAUUCGCGUUCGUCGUUCGACGACUUUGCAGAAAGUAUUCGCGCGGGUUAAUGAGCCGAUCUACGAAUGGAAUCGUGCAAUUUUAUUUUGGAACUGUCACGAGUCUGAUCUCGAAAAUUAAAAAAUUAAUACGGAUUGGCGUGCUCAUUUUAGUUGCCUAACCUAUUUAAAAUAUCAAUUUAUUUUAAUUCUGAUUUUUCCAGUUUUAAGAUCGCAUUUUUCAAAUCCAUAAAAAAA